GGGUUGUGAGGUUAAGCGACUAAGCGUACACGGUGGAUGCCCUGGCAGUCAGAGGCGAUGAAGGACGUGCUAAUCUGCGAAAAGCGUCGGUAAGGUGAUAUGAACCGUUACAGCCGGCGAUGUCCGAAUGGGGAAACCCAGUGCAAUUCGUUGCACUAUCGUUAACUGAAUACAUAGGUUAACGAGGCGAACCGGGGGAACUGAAACAUCUAAGUACCCCGAGGAAAAGAAAUCAACCGAGAUUCCCCCAGUAGCGGCGAGCGAACGGGGAGCAGCCCAGAGUCUGAAUCAGCUUGUGUGUUAGUGGAACGGUCUGGAAAGUCCGACGGUACAGGGUGAUAGUCCCGUACACCAAAAUGCACAGGCUGUGAACUCGAAGAGUAGGGCGGGACACGUGGUAUCCUGUCUGAAUAUGGGGGGACCAUCCUCCAAGGCUAAAUACUCCUGACUGACCGAUAGUGAACCAGUACCGUGAGGGAAAGGCGAAAAGAACCCCGGCGAGGGGAGUGAAAAAGAACCUGAAACCGUGUACGUACAAGCAGUGGGAGCACCUUCGGGUGUGACUGCGUACCUUUUGUAUAAUGGGUCAGCGACUUAUAUUCUGUAGCAAGGUUAACCGUAUAGGGGAGCCGCAGGGAAACCGAGUCUUAACUGGGCGUUAAGUUGCAGGGUAUAGACCCGAAACCCGGUGAUCUAGCCAUGGGCAGGUUGAAGGUUGGGUAACACUAACUGGAGGACCGAACCGACUAAUGUUGAAAAAUUAGCGGAUGACUUGUGGCUGGGGGUGAAAGGCCAAUCAAACCGGGAGAUAGCUGGUUCUCCCCGAAAGCUAUUUAGGUAGCGCCUCGUGAACUCAUCUUCGGGGGUAGAGCACUGUUUCGGCUAGGGGGUCAUCCCGACUUACCAACCCGAUGCAAACUACGAAUACCGAAGAAUGUUAUCACGGGAGACACACGGCGGGUGCUAACGUCCGUCGUGAAGAGGGAAACAACCCAGACCGCCAGCUAAGGUCCCAAAGUCAUGGUUAAGUGGGAAACGAUGUGGGAAGGCACAGACAGCCAGGAUGUUGGCUUAGAAGCAGCCAUCAUUUAAAGAAAGCGUAAUAGCUCACUGGUCGAGUCGGCCUGCGCGGAAGAUGUAACGGGGCUAAACCAUGCACCGAAGCUGCGGCAGCGACACGAUGUGUUGUUGGGUAGGGGAGCGUUCUGUAAGCCUGCGAAGGUGACCUGUGAGGGUUGCUGGAGGUAUCAGAAGUGCGAAUGCUGACAUAAGUAACGAUAAAGCGGGUGAAAAGCCCGCUCGCCGGAAGACCAAGGGUUCCUGUCCAACGUUAAUCGGGGCAGGGUGAGUCGACCCCUAAGGCGAGGCCGAAAGGCGUAGUCGAUGGGAAACAGGUUAAUAUUCCUGUACUUGGUGUUACUGCGAAGGGGGGACGGAGAAGGCUAUGUUAGCCGGGCGACGGUUGUCCCGGUUUAAGCAUGUAGGCUGGUUAUCCAGGCAAAUCCGGAUAAUCAAGGCUGAGGUGUGAUGACGAGGCACUACGGUGCUGAAGUAACAAAUGCCCUGCUUCCAGGAAAAGCCUCUAAGCAUCAGGUAACAUCAAAUCGUACCCCAAACCGACACAGGUGGUCAGGUAGAGAAUACCAAGGCGCUUGAGAGAACUCGGGUGAAGGAACUAGGCAAAAUGGUGCCGUAACUUCGGGAGAAGGCACGCUGGUGUGUAGGUGAAGUCCCUGCGGAUGGAGCUGAGACCAGUCGAAGAUACCAGCUGGCUGCAACUGUUUAUUAAAAACACAGCACUGUGCAAACACGAAAGUGGACGUAUACGGUGUGACGCCUGCCCGGUGCCGGAAGGUUAAUUGAUGGGGUUAUCCGUAAGGAGAAGCUCUUGAUCGAAGCCCCGGUAAACGGCGGCCGUAACUAUAACGGUCCUAAGGUAGCGAAAUUCCUUGUCGGGUAAGUUCCGACCUGCACGAAUGGCGUAAUGAUGGCCAGGCUGUCUCCACCCGAGACUCAGUGAAAUUGAACUCGCUGUGAAGAUGCAGUGUACCCGCGGCAAGACGGAAAGACCCCGUGAACCUUUACUAUAGCUUGACACUGAACAUUGAGCCUUGAUGUGUAGGAUAGGUGGGAGGCUUUGAAGCGUGGACGCCAGUCUGCGUGGAGCCAACCUUGAAAUACCACCCUUUAAUGUUUGAUGUUCUAACGUUGGCCCCUAAUCGGGGUUGCGGACAGUGUCUGGUGGGUAGUUUGACUGGGGCGGUCUCCUCCCAAAGCGUAACGGAGGAGCACGAAGGUUAGCUAAUCCUGGUCGGACAUCAGGAGGUUAGUGCAAUGGCAUAAGCUAGCUUGACUGCGAGCGUGACGGCGCGAGCAGGUGCGAAAGCAGGUCAUAGUGAUCCGGUGGUUCUGAAUGGAAGGGCCAUCGCUCAACGGAUAAAAGGUACUCCGGGGAUAACAGGCUGAUACCGCCCAAGAGUUCAUAUCGACGGCGGUGUUUGGCACCUCGAUGUCGGCUCAUCACAUCCUGGGGCUGAAGUAGGUCCCAAGGGUAUGGCUGUUCGCCAUUUAAAGUGGUACGCGAGCUGGGUUUAGAACGUCGUGAGACAGUUCGGUCCCUAUCUGCCGUGGGCGCUGGAGAAUUGAGGGGGGCUGCUCCUAGUACGAGAGGACCGGAGUGGACGCAUCACUGGUGUUCGGGUUGUCAUGCCAAUGGCAUUGCCCGGUAGCUAAAUGCGGAAGAGAUAAGUGCUGAAAGCAUCUAAGCACGAAACUUGCCCCGAGAUGAGUUCUCCCUGAGACUUUAAGUCUCCUGAAGGAACGUUGAAGACGACGACGUUGAUAGGCCGGGUGUGUAAGCGCAGCGAUGCGUUGAGCUAACCGGUACUAAUGAACCGUGAGGCUUAACCUUACAACGCCGAAG
rnacentral:rRNA from 1 species